rnacentral:rRNA from 1 species
UGGCGCACGGGUGCGUAACGCGUGGGAAUCUGCCCCUUGGUUCGGAAUAACAGUUAGAAAUGACUGCUAAUACCGGAUGAUGUCUUCGGACCAAAGAUUUAUCGCCUAGGGAUGAGCCCGCGUUGGAUUAGCUAGUUGGUGGGGUAAAGGCCUACCAAGGCGACGAUCCAUAGCUGGUCUGAGAGGAUGAUCAGCCACACUGGGACUGAGACACGGCCCAG